GAAGUGGGAGGAUGCAUUUUUAGUAAGAAGAGCAAUCCAAAUUCAUAAAAUGCAGAGGUUGCCAGGUUAUAGUGGUGUUACAUGAUAAGAAAAGGAAUCCUUGUGAACAUGACUGUUUCAAUCUAGUUUUGGAUGAAGACUGCAUUCUUUUUUACCAUAACAACUUAUAGAUGACAGCUUCUAGCUAUUAUUCUAACAUGCUAGAGCAACAUAUUUCUAACAUCGUAUGACAAAAUGAAAUUGUACAUCAUCUUGAAGAAGUUGGUUUUUUUACUUCUCUUUUUCUUAAUUUAACUAGUGUGAGAUUUGCACAAAACUGCAAUUGAAUUAUUUCUAGGUGGGGUUAAUGAAGGGAAUCCAAUGUUAAUCUGAAGGUCAAC
rnacentral:misc_RNA from 1 species